rnacentral:rRNA from 1 species
AUUGAACGCUGGCGGCAGGCCUAACACAUGCAAGUCGAGCGAGCGGCGGACGGGUGAGUAAUGUCUGGGAAACUGCCUGAUGGAGGGGGAUAACUACUGGAAACGGUAGCUAAUACCGCAUACCAUCAGAUGUGCCCAGAUGGGAUUAGCUAGUAGGUGUGGUAACGGCCCACCUAGGCGAAGAUCCCUAGCUGGUCUGAGAGGAUGACCAGCCACCCUGAACAUAAGACACGGUCCAGGCUCCCACUGGAGGCAGCGGUGGGGACUAUUGCACAAUGGGCGGAAUGCUUGUGCAGCCAUGCCGCGUGUGUGAAGAAGGCCUUCGGGUUGUAAAGCACUUUCAGCGGGGAGGCGUUACCCGCAGAAGAAGCACCGGCUAACUCCGUGCCAGCAGCCGCGGUAAUAC